rnacentral:lncRNA from 1 species
AGUUAGCCUAAAAACAACAGCAGAAGCAGCAGCAACAACGAUGCUGAGUGCUGACUGCGAGCCUGGCUUCCUCGGAGGGAGUUUACCGUGCGCUGCCUCCUUGGACCCUCAUCACUGCCCUGCGAAGCAAGCACUUUCCUCACCCCCUCUGUCUGGAGGAGGGCACUGAGGCACCGAGAAAACUGGGCAGGGGAGGCCCGAGAAGGAGAGGGUGGCACCGUCAUUCUCACUUUCCAGCUGAGGACACGGCUCAGAGCUCAUCUGUGACAGUGACCA